GUGGGGAAUAUUGGACAAUGGGCGAAAGCCUGAUCCAGCCAUGCCGCGUGUGUGAAGAAGGUCUUCGGAUUGUAAAGCACUUUAAGUUGGGAGGAAGGGUAGUAACCUAAUACGUUGCUACUUUGACGUUACCGACAGAAUAAGCACCGGCUAACUUCGUGCCAGCAGCCGCGGUAAUACGAAGGGUGCAAGCGUUAAUCGGAAUUACUGGGCGUAAAGCGCGCGUAGGUGGUUCAGUAAGUUGGAAGUGACAUCCCCGGGCUCAACCUGGGAACUGCUUUCAAAACUGCUGAGCUAGAGUACGGUAGAGGGUGGUGGAAUUUCCUGUGUAGCGGUGAAAUGCGUAGAUAUAGGAAGGAACACCAGUGGCGAAGGCGACCACCUGGACUGAUACUGACACUGAGGUGCGAAAGCGUGGGGAGCAAACAGGAUUAGAAACCCGGGUAGUCC
rnacentral:rRNA from 1 species